rnacentral:rRNA from 1 species
GACGAACGCUGGCGGCACGCUUAACACAUGCAAGUCGAACGAGAGGAGAGAAGCUUGCUUUUCUGAUCUAGUGGCGGACGGGUGAGUAACACGUGAGCAAUCUGCCUUUCAGAGGGGGAUACCGAUUGGAAACGAUCGUUAAUACCGCAUAACAUAAUUUAACCGCAUGAGUUGAUUAGCAAAGAUUGAUCGUUGCAAGAUGAUCUGGCGUCUGCUUAGCUAGUUGGUAAGGUAACGACUUACCAAGUGGCCGAGCAGAAGCCGGACUGAGGGGUUGAUCGCCCACAUUCUGAGUGAGGCACCGGACGGACUCCUUCGGGAGGCGGCAGAGGGGAAUCUUGCACACGGGAGGUAACUCUGAUGCAGCGAUGCAGCGUGAGGGAAUGAGGUUUUGGGAAUGUAAACCUCUGUCUUAAGGGACGAAAAAUGACGGUACCUGAGGAGGAAGCUCCGGCUAACUACGUG